rnacentral:rRNA from 1 species
GACGAACGCUGGCGGCGUGCCUAAUACAUGCAAGUCGAGCGAAGUUUUUCUGGUGCUUGCACUAGAAAAACUUAGCGGCGAACGGGUGAGUAACACGUAAAGAACCUGCCUCAUAGACUGGGACAACUAUUGGAAACGAUAGCUAAUACCGGAUAACAGUAUUUCUCGCAUGUGAGAUAUUUAAAAGUUGGUUAUGCUAACACUAUGAGAUGGCUUUGCGGUGCAUUAGCUAGUUGGUGGGGUAAAGGCCCACCAAGGCGACGAUGCAUAGCCGACCUGAGAGGGUGAUCGGCCACACUGGGACUGAGACACGGCCCAGACUCCUACGGGAGGCAGCAGUAGGGAAUCUUCCGCAAUGGGCGAAAGCCUGACGGAGCAACGCCGCGUGAGUGAAGAAGGAUUUCGGUUCGUAAAGCUCUGUUGUUAGGGAAGAAUGGAUAUGUAGUAACUAGACAUGUAAGAGACGGUACCUAACCAGAAAGCCACGGCUAACUACGUG